GGAGAGGUGUCAGAGCGGUCUAUCGUCCAGCUUUGCUAAAGCUGCAGGGGGCAACCCCUCGCGGGUUCGAAUCCCGCCCUCUCCG
rnacentral:tRNA from 1 species